rnacentral:rRNA from 1 species
AUUGAACGCUGGCGGCAGGCCUAACACAUGCCAGUCGAGCGAGCGGCGGACGGGUGAGUAAUGUCUGGGAAACUGCCUGAUGGAGGGGGUUAACUACUGGAAACGGUAGCUAAUACAGCAUACCAUCAGAUGUGCCCAUAUGGGAUUAGCCAGUAGGUGGGGUAACGGCUCACCUAGGCGACGUUCCCUAGCUGGUCUGAGAGGAUGACCAGCCACACUGGAACUGAGACACGGUCCAGACUCCUACGGGAGGCAGCAGUGGGGAAUAUUGCACAAUGGGCGCAAGCCGGAUGCAGCCAUGCCGCGUGUGUGAAGAAGGCCUUCGGGUUGUAAAGCACUUUCAGCGGGGAGGCGUUACCCGCAGAAGAAGCACCGGCUAACUCCGUGCCAGCAGCCGCGGUAAUUC